rnacentral:rRNA from 1 species
UACGGAGGAUGCAAGUGUUAUCCGGAAUCACUGGGCGUAAAGCGUCUGUAGGUGGUUUAAAAAGUCCACUGUUAAAAAUUGAAGCUUAACUUCAAAGAUGCCGUGGAAACUUUUAAACUUGAGGAUGAUAGGGGUAGAGGGAAUUUCCAGUGGAGCGGUGAAAUGCGUAGAUAUUGGAAAGACCACCAAUGGCGAAGGCACUCUACUGGGCCAUUACUGACACUGAGAGACGAAAGCUAGGGGAGCGAAUGGG